GUCUCAGGUCCCUCCCCAGACCUCUGAAUCAUAAUUUGCAGUUUAACAAGAGGUUCCCAGGUGAUUCCCACAUCCAUUAAUUCUGCAGAGUUGUUUCUAUCUGCUGCGGACAGGGGCGGGGCACGGGGCUCCCGUGUUGAGGAGAUUCAAAUCAAGAGGAAGCUCCCAGGGCUUUGGGUUUUCUCUAAAUUUACCAAGACGACUUCCCAACAAAGUGGGUUGGGAUCCAGGAUGCGUCACUUCCCUUUUGUAUUCUGACCUGGAUGAACUUGGCAGAGUUUCUGCAAACCAGAGUGAGGCUGUGCACUCUGAGGGAUUCUGGGAGCUUCUCCUCUGAAUCCAAAGCAGCAGGUGUGGAGGAACGAGGAAGAGGAGUGGUGAACAGUCUUCGUCUAUAGAGGAAACAGGAAGAGAAUGGGGAUUGUCCUUUUAGACACAUCUGAGGCUGGGAAGUCCAAGACUGAGGGAUCACAUCUGGUGAGGGCCUUUUUGCCAGUGAGGACUCUCCAGAAAGUGCUGAGGCGGGACAGAGCAUCACAUGGUAAGAUGGCCAAAUAGGCUUUUAUAACAGAUCUGCUAUUAUGAUAACUAACUCAUUACCUCAAUAACCCAUUAAUCCACUAAUCUGUGAGUGGGCUAAUCUGUUCAUGAGGGCAGACUUCUCACGACUUACUCAUUUCCCAAAGGUCUCAUCUCUCAACACUGCUGUGUUGAGGACCAAGUUUCCAACAUGAACUUCUGGGGGACACAUUCGCACCAUAGCACCUGGCAAUCUCAUACCUAUGUAUAUAUCCAUGCAAAAUGAAAAUAUGUCCACAGAAACACUUGUACAUGAAUGGUCAUAACAUUAUUCAUAAUGGCAAAAAAGGAACAACCCAAAUGUUCAUCAAUUAAUGAUGAGUAAACAAAAUGUAAUGUAUCUACCCCUUGGAAUAUUAGUCAUAAAAAGUAAUGAAAUACUGAUAAAUGCUUCAGCAUAGAUAGACCUUGAAAACAUUGUACUAAGUGAAAGAUGCCUGAUGCAAGAAGUCACACAUACUGUAUGAUUCCAUUUGUAUGAACUGUCCAGAACAGGCGAAUGCAGAGACAGAAAGUAAAUUAGUGGUUGCCAGGAGAUGGGAGGAGUGGAAUGGGGAGUGAUUGUUAAUAGGUACAGUUUCUUCAUUGAAGUAGUGAGAAAGUUCUGGAAUCAAGUGAUGAUGGCUGCAUAACUGUGUGAAGUAUAAUACUAAUUUUGUUAAUAAAAUACGUAUAAGUACAUAAGCA
rnacentral:lncRNA from 13 species